rnacentral:piRNA from 2 species
CGCACAGAUCUUUUCCCCUCCUUG